CCUACGGGUGGCUGCAGUGGGGAAUAUUGCGCAAUGGGCGAAAGCCUGACGCAGCGACGCCGCGUGAGGGAUGAAGGUCUUCGGAUCGUAAAGCUCUAUCAGCAGGGAAGAAAAUGACAGUACCUGACCAAGAAGCCCCGGCUAACUACGUGCCAGCAGCCGCGGUAAUACGUAGGGGGCAAGCGUUAUCCGGAUUUACUGGGUGUAAAGGGAGCGUAGACGGUUAUGUAAGUCUGGAGUGAAAGCCCGGGGCCCAACCCCGGGACUGCUUUGGAAACUGUUUAACUGGAGUACAGGAGGGGAAGGCGGAAUUCCUGGUGUAGCGGUGAAAUGCGUAGAUAUCAGGAGGAACACCGGCGGCGAAGGCGGCCUGCUGGACUGAAACUGACGUUGAGGCGCGAAAGCGUGGGGAGCAAACAGGAUUAGAUACCCUGGUAGUC
rnacentral:rRNA from 1 species